AUGUCGAAAGGGGAAGCUCUCCAGAGGGGCAAAUCGAUCGCACGGUUCAAGAGGACUUCCCUCACCUCCGAUGCGAACAAAAUGUUGCCCAAGCAGACAGCUCGCUACUUGGCGUUCGCCGACCCCAGUGAUCCGAAAGUGAAGGAAAUGCUGGCGGCUGUUUUGUUGAAGGACAGGAAGGGCGUCGACGAAAAGGAAAAGGAAGGAGAACAGAAAAACCUCAUCGGGAUCCUCAAGGCUGCCGAGGCUCGGAACCGCCUUCGGAACGCGCGACUUCAGUAUCAGAACCUGAGGGCACAAGAGAUCAAUUUCCUCAUCUCCUUCCAGAGGAACGCCAAGGGUGCUGUGAGACUAGAAGUCUUCCUUCCCCCUAGAAGGCACCUUUAUCGGACUGCAUGGACACCGAUCAGAGAGGCCGGAUUGAAGAAAUACUCGAGGAUGAAACUGGCGAGAUCUUUAUCAGAAGGCACUGAACUCUUGAGUAGAACCGUGCCAUAUAAGGGGAGCAAGACACGGAUGGAAAGAAGCCAACCAGAUAUGAAAACUCUGGGGGGGCUACAACUGUGGUUCAAUAAACUAUGUGGGUUAUUAUCAGUCGCUGAAAACUGGUUCUCUGUUGAAAAUUUGUCCGUACAGGUUAUGGCCAUCCCUCGUUCCAUUUGGUGAAGGAGAAAUUGCUUUCAGAAAGCAAUUUAAACACAGGUGGCCAGAGCUGUUAUUCUGCAUGGUUAGGUGUAAAAAAAUGUUUUCAAAUAACGCUUUGCAAUCACAUACACACCUUUGAACAUUAUACGGCUUCGCUUUGAGCAGAAGAGUGAUUAAUAAAAUAAAGAAAAUAAUUCA
rnacentral:lncRNA from 1 species